rnacentral:rRNA from 1 species
ACUAGCAGUAAGAGUUUGAUCAUGGCUCAGAACGAACGCUGGCGGCAGGCCUAACACAUGCAAGUCGAACGCGUGUAGCAAUACACGAGUGGCGCACGGGUGAGUAACGCGUGGGAACCUACCUAAAGGUACGGAAUAACCAACCGAAAGGAUGGCUAAUACCGUAUACGCCCUCCGGGGGAAAGAUUUAUCGCCUUUAGACGGGCCCGCGUCGGAUUAGCUAGUUGGUGAGGUAAUGGCUCACCAAGGCUACGAUCCGUAGCUGGUCUGAGAGGAUGAUCAGCCACACUGGAACUGAGACACGGUCCAGACUCCUACGGGAGGCAGCAGUGGGGAAUAUUGGACAAUGGGGGCAACCCUGAUCCAGCCAUGCCGCGUGAGUGAUGAAGGUCUUAGGAUUGUAAAGCUCUUUCGGCGGGGAAGAUGAUGACGGUACCCGCAGAAAAAGCCCCGGCUAACUUCGUGCCAGCCGCCGCGGUAAUAC